rnacentral:rRNA from 1 species
UACAGAGGUCCCGAGCGUUGUUCGGAUUCAUUGGGCGUAAAGGGUGCGUAGGCGGCGGGGCAAGUCUGAUGUGAAAUCCUGGGGCUCAACCCCAGAACUGCAUUGGAUACUGCCUUGCUAGAGUACUGGAGAGGGAACUGGAAUUUACGGUGUAGCAGUGAAAUGCGUAGAUAUCGUAAGGAAGACCAGUGGCGAAGGCGGGUCUCUGGACAGUUCCUGACGCUGAGGCACGAAGGUCAGGGGAGCAAACGGG